rnacentral:rRNA from 1 species
AAUUCGAUGCAACGCGAAGAACCUUACCUACCCUUGACAUGUCCGGAACUUGCCAGAGAUGGCUUGGUGCCCGAAAGGGAUCGGAACACAGGUACUGCAUGGCUGUCGUCAGCUCGUGUCGUGAGAUGUUGGGUUAAGUCCCGCAACGAGCGCAACCCUUAUCCCUAGUUGCCAUCAGGUAAAGCUGGGAACUCUGGGGAGACUGCCGGUGAUAAACCGGAGGAAGGCGGGGAUGACGUCAAGUCCUCAUGGCCCUUACAUCCCGGGCUACACACGUGCUACAAUGGCAGGUACAGAGGGCUGCGAAGCCGCGAGGUGGAGCGAAUCCCAGAAAACCUGCCUCAGUCCGGAUUGAAGUCUGCAACUCGACUUCAUGAAGGCGGAAUCGCUAGUAACCGCGAAUCAGCAGGUCCGCGGUCGAAUACGUUCCGGCCUU